rfam:Brassica oleracea var. oleracea cultivar TO1000 chromosome C1, whole genome shotgun sequence
AAGCAAUGAUGUGGGCAUUGAGACCAAUAGCCUUUGAACCUCUCCCAAGCUUCACUAAAGCCCUCUAGGUUCUUCUGCUGAAAGCUAGAGAUCUCAUUCCUGAUCUU